CCGACCUUAGCUCAGUUGGUAGAGCGGAGGACUGUAGUGGUUGCAGAUCAAUCCUUAGGUCGCUGGUUCGAAUCCGGCAGGUCGGA
rnacentral:tRNA from 1 species